UACGUAGGGUGCAGGCGUUAAUCGGAAUUCCUGGGCGUAAAGCGUGCGCCGGCGGCUCCUUAAGUCAGAUGUGAAAGCCCCGGGCUUAACCUGGGAACUGCGUUUGAAACUGGGGAGCUGGAGUGUAGAAGAGGGGGGUGGAAUUCCAGGUGUAGCAGUGAAAUGCGUAGAUAUCUGGAGGAACACCGAUGGCGAAGGCAGCCCCCUGGGCUAACACUGACGCUCAUGCACGAAAGCGUGGGGAGCAAACAGG
rnacentral:rRNA from 1 species